rnacentral:rRNA from 1 species
AUUGAACGCUGGCGGCAUGCUUUACACAUGCAAGUCGAACGGUAACAGGCCGCAAGGUGCUGACGAGUGGCGAACGGGUGAGUAAUGCAUCGGAACGUGCCCAGUCGUGGGGGAUAACUGCUCGAAAGAGCAGCUAAUACCGCAUACGAUCUAUGGAUGAAAGCGGGGGACCGUAAGGCCUCGCGCGAUUGGAGCGGCCUAUGUCAGAUUAGGUAGUUGGUGGGGUAAAGGCUCACCAAGCCAACGAGCUGUAGCUGGUCUGAGAGGACGACCAGCCACACUGGGACUGAGACACGGCCCAGACUCCUACGGGAGGCAGCAGUGGGGAAUUUUGGACAAUGGGGGCAACCCUGAUCCAGCAAUGCCGCGUGCAGGAAGAAGGCCUUCGGGUUGUAAACUGCUUUUGUACGGAACGAAACGGUCUGGGUUAAUACCCUGGGCUAAUGACGGUACCGUAAGAAUAAGCACCGGCUAACUACGUGCCAGCAGCCGCGGUAAAAC